rnacentral:rRNA from 1 species
CCUACGUGAGGCAGCAGUAGGGAAUUUUCCACAAUGGGCGAAAGCCUGAUGGAGCAACGCCGCGUGGGUGAAGAAGGUCUUCGGAUCGUAAAACCCUGUUGUUAGAGAAGAAAGUGCGUGAGAGUAACUGUUCACGUUUCGACGGUAUCUAACCAGAAAGCCACGGCUAACUACGUGCCAGCAGCCGCGGUAAUACGUAGGUGGCAAGCGUUAUCCGGAUUUAUUGGGCGUAAGGGGAACGCAGGCGGUCUUGUAAGUUUGAUGUGAAAGCCUUCGGCUUAACCGGAGUAGUGCAUUGGAAACUGGGAGACUUGAGUGCAGAAGAGGAGAGUGGAACUCCAUGUGUAGCGGUGAAAUGCGUAGAUAUAUGGAAGAACACCAGUGGCGAAAGCGGCUCUCUGGUCUGUAACUGACGCUGAGGUUCGAAAGCGUGGGUAGCAAACAGGAUUAGAUACCCUUGUAGUC